AAUCAACGCUGGCGGCGUGCCUAACACAUGCAAGUCGCACGAGAAAGGGGAGCAAUCCCUGAGUAAAGUGGCGCACGGGUGAGUAACACGUGAAUCAUCUACCUCCGAGUGGGGAAGUAACUGAGAGAAAUCUUAGCUAAUACCGCAUAACACUUACGAGUCAAAGCAGCAAUGCGCUUGGAGAGGAGUUCGCGGCCGAUUAGUUAGUUGGCGGGGUAANGGCCC
rnacentral:rRNA from 1 species